UACGUAGGGUGCAAGCGUUGUCCGGAAUUAUUGGGCGUAAAGAGCUCGUAGGCGGUUUGUUGCGUCGGCUGUGAAAACCUGAGGCUCAACCUCGGGCUUGCAGUGGGUACGGGCAGACUAGAGUGCGGUAGGGGUGACUGGAAUUCCUGGUGUAGCGGUGGAAUGCGCAGAUAUCAGGAGGAACACCGAUGGCGAAGGCAGGUCACUGGGCCGCAACUGACGCUGAGGAGCGAAAGCAUGGGGAGCGAACAGG
rnacentral:rRNA from 1 species